rnacentral:rRNA from 1 species
UACGGAGGGUGCGAGCGUUGUCCGGAAUCAUUGGGCGUAAAGGGUGCGUAGGCGGCGCGGUAAGUCGGGUGUGAAAUCUUGGAGCUUAACUCCGAAACUGCAUUCGAUACUGCCGUGCUUGAGGACUGGAGAGGAGACUGGAAUUUACGGUGUAGCGGUGAAAUGCGUAGAUAUCGUAAGGAAGACCAGUGGCGAAGGCGGGUCUCUGGACAGUUCCUGACGCUGAGGCACGAAGGCCAGGGGAGCAAACGGG